rnacentral:lncRNA from 1 species
GGCGGGGCUGCCUCGUGCUUUUCUGUGAACUUCCAAUUGAAGCAAAUUUCGGUGUGAGUUUUGAAGUAGAAACGGCUACGUAAGACGUGUGGCACUGCUCCGUGCAGGAAUUUCUCCCUGGUGGUAGCAGCUAUUUCUGUUCCGAGGAACGCUGAGCACUUUCCAGAUCUUUCUGAGGUCCUUUGCAUCAUCUGACAUUUCUGCAGGCAGUGGUUGCUCAGUGCUGAAUUUGAUGGCAAACUGCAGCUGUGAAGUUACAGGAGACAAGAGAACUUCUCUAUUAGUCGUCCAAACACAGACAUUUCAACAUGAGGCCGAAGAAAGAUGAUCAUUUUCAGUGUAAGGAGGAAGCAGACACCCAGCAUCAGUUGCGGGAUCCCCAGCAAUGGCAGCAGAAUCAGCAUUGUCUGGGAGGUAACCAUUGCACAGGGAUUUGGAGCACAUCAGGAACAAACGUAAACACAUGAGAUCUGCUUCAGGACUGGGGCAUUUCCAGGUGAAGUCAUAGAUUAUGACAUGCCAUCGUAAAAAUGUGGCUAAAGAUCACGCAGGCUUCUUUCUGUUGCUCAAUCUGAAUUCUGCACUUUUGUCAGCAUCUCCUUUAAAAUAAGGCACAAAAAGAAAGGAACUCUG